GACGAACGCUGGCGGCGUGCUUAACACAUGCAAGUCGAGCGAGGCCCCUCCUUCGGGGGGGUGUCCUAGCGGCGAACGGGUGUGUAACACGUGGGCAACCUGCCCUCAGCUCUGGGAUAACUCCGCGAAACCGGGGCUAAUACCGGAUACGACCUCUACGGGCGUCUGCGGGGGUGGAAAGUUUUUCGGCUGAGGAUGGGCCCGCGGCCUAUCAGCUAGUUGGUGGGGUAGUGGCGCACCAAGGCGACGACGGGUAGCCGGCCUGAGAGGGCGACCGGCCACAUUGGGACUGAGACACGGCCCAGACUCCUACGGGAGGCAGCAGUGGGGAAUAUUGCGCAAUGGGCGGAAGCCUGACGCAGCAACGCCGCGUGAGGGACGAAGGCCUUCGGGUUGUAAACCUCUUUCGGCAGGGACGAAGCGAGAGUGACGGUACCUGCAGAAGAAGCACCGGCCAACUACGUG
rnacentral:rRNA from 1 species